rnacentral:rRNA from 1 species
GACGAACGCUGGCGGCGUGCUUAACACAUGCAAGUCGAACGGAAAGGCCUCUUUCGGGGGGUACUCGAGUGGCGAACGGGUGAGUAACACGUGAGUAACCUGCCCUUGACUUUGGGAUAACUUCAGGAAACUGGGGCUAAUACCGGAUAGGAGCUCCUGCUGCAUGGUGGGGGUUGGAAAGUUUCGGCGGUUGGGGAUGGACUCGCGGCUUAUCAGCUUGUUGGUGGGGUAGUGGCUUACCAAGGCUUUGACGGGUAGCCGGCCUGAGAGGGAGACCGGCCACAUUGGGACUGAGAUACGGCCCAGACUCCUACGGGAGGCAGCAGUGGGGAAUAUUGCACAAUGGGUGGAAGCCUGAUGCAGCAACGCCGUGUGCGGGAUGACGGCCUUCGGGUUGUAAACCGCUUUCGCUCAUGACGAAGCUUUGUGUGACGGUAGUGGGUAAAGAAGCACCGGCUAACUACGUG